UAUACGACCGUACCGCAAACCGACACUGGUGCGCGAGAUGAGUAUUCUAAGGCGCUUGAGAGAACUCAGGAGAAGGAACUCGGCAAAUUGACACCGUAACUUCGGAAGAAGGUGUGCCCUAUUAGUGUGUAGUGAACAACGAAGCAUGAAUGGGUUGCAAAAAAUCGGUGGCUGCGACUGUUUAUUAAAAACACAGCACUCUGCAAACACGAAAGUGGACGUAUAGGGUGUGACGCCUGCCCGGUGCUGGAAGAUUAAAUGAUGGGGUGCAAGCUCUUGAUUGAAGUCCCAGUAAACGGCGGCCGUAACGAUAACGGUCCUAAGGUAGCGAAAUUCCUUGUCGGGUAAGUUCCGACCUGCACGAAUGGCGUAACGAUGGCCACACUGUCUCCUCCUGAGACUCAGCGAAGUUGAAAUGUUUGUGAUGAUGCAAUCUCCCCGCGGAAAGACGGAAAGACCCCAUGAACCUUUACUGUAGCUUUGUAUUGGACUUUGAACAGAUCUGUGUAGGAUAGGUGGGAGGCUUUGAAGCAGGGUCGCUAGAUCUUGUGGAGCCAACGUUGAAAUACCACCCUGGUGUGUUUGAGGUUCUAACCUAGGUCCAUUAUCUGGAUCGGGGACAGUGCAUGGUAGGCAGUUUGACUGGGGCGGUCUCCUCCCAAAGCGUAACGGAGGAGUUCGAAGGUACGCUAGUUACGGUCGGACAUCGUGACGAUAGUGCAAUGGCAUAAGCGUGCUUAACUGCGAGACUGACAAGUCGAGCAGAUGCGAAAGCAGGACAUAGUGAUCCGGUGGUUCUGUAUGGAAGGGCCAUCGCUCAACGGAUAAAAGGUACUCUGGGGAUAACAGGCUGAUACCGCCCAAGAGUUCAUAUCGACGGCGGUGUUUGGCACCUCGAUGUCGGCUCAUCUCAUCCUGGGGCUGUAGCCGGUCCCAAGGGUAUGGCUGUUCGCCAUUUAAAGAGGUACGUGAGCUGGGUUUAAAACGUCGUGAGACAGUUUGGUCCCUAUCUUCCGUGGGCGCUGCAGAUUUGAGGAAGCCUGCUCCUAGUACGAGAGGACCGGAGUGGACACACCUCUGGUGUAUCGGUUGUCACGCCAGUGGCAUUGCCGAGUAGCUAAGUGUGGAAGAGAUAACCGCUGAAAGCAUCUAAGCGGGAAACUCGUUUCAAGAUGAGAUCUGCCGGGGCCUUGAGCCCCCUAAAGAGUCGUUCAAGACCAGGACGUUGAUAGGUCAGGUGUGGAAGCCAA
rnacentral:rRNA from 1 species